AUCGAGUUAGAUUAGAUCUGUACUUCUGAUCUGAUGAUGAAAUAAACUGAAAUUUCCCUGAUGAAGUACUGCUUAACCUGCUGCACUUUUGUUUGCUGAUCAGUAGACAGUAGUGAUGAUGCUUGUGCUAUUCGAAGUGGAUUGCAUGUUGCCUAUCUCAUGGCUUGUUUUGUUUGGUCAUUGCAUGCAUGCAUUGACUACUGUUGAGUGUCUACACGACUCCGAGAUGGCUCAGAGGCGUCCUGAUCCGACCUCUUGGCAAACAAAUUUCUUUUGAUCUGAACAAUGAAUACUAAUAAUAACGGACAUCUUGGUAUAUUACACAUGGAAUUGAAGUAUCAGGGUUACAGUUGCUCAGGUAAUAGAAUGCAUUGCAAUUUAGGAGUAUUUUCUCAUAAAAACGUGAACAUUUGAUGAUCUCUCUCUCUCUCUCUCUCUCUCUCUCUCUCUGUAACCUGCCUUGGUAUAUGUCUUUGAUUUGCAUUUUACUGGGCAUGCCACACCCCACACACUUCAAAUGCUCCACAUGAGGAACAAUUAAGAAAAAUCAGACUGUAGCUUGAAUUUUAGAAUGUUCCAUUUUUGUUACAACUUUACCAAAUGCUCCCUUCAUUUUCUUUUUUAUUGGGCGUAUUAGGAUUUGGAGACGUCUUUAAACAUAUUGACCAUCAGUUUCUCUUAUAUAGAAUAUGUUACCCAAUGCUAAAAAUUAAUUUCACAUUACAACACAUUUAAAAAAUAUUGUUUUAUUCUAGAACA